rnacentral:rRNA from 1 species
UAUGCGAAAAACAAAGCUUAGCUAGCAGUAUCCUGAGUAGGGCGGGACACGAGGAAUCCUGUCUGAAUCCGGGUCGACCACGAUCCAACCCUAAAUACUAAUACCAGAUCGAUAGUGCACAAGUACCGUGAGGGAAAGGUGAAAAGAACUGAGGUGAUCAGAGUGAAAUAGAACCUGAAACCAUUUGCUUACAAUCAUUCAGAGCACUAUGUAGCAAUACAGUGUGAUGGACUGCCUUUUGCAUAAUGAGCCUGCGAGUUGUGGUGUCUGGCAAGGUUAAGCAAACGCGAAGCCGUAGCGAAAGCGAGUCUGAAUAGGGCGCUUAGUCAGAUGCUGCAGACCCGAAACGAAGUGAUCUAUCCAUGAGCAAGUUGAAGCUAGUGUAAGAACUAGUGGAGGACUGAACCCAUAGGCGUUGAAAAGCCCCGGGAUGACUUGUGGAUAGGGGUGAAAGGCCAAUCAAACUUCGUGAUAGCUGGUUCUCUCCGAAAUAUAUUUAGGUAUAGCGUUGUGUCGUAAUAUAAGGGGGUAGAGCACUGAAUGGGCUAGGGCAUACACCAAUGUACCAAACCCUAUCAAACUCCGAAUACCUUAUAUGUAAUCACAGCAGUCAGGCGGCGAGUGAUAAAAUCCGUCGUCAAGAGGGAAACAACCCAGACUACCAGCUAAGGUCCCUAAAUCUUACUUAAGUGGAAAACGAUGUGAAGUUACUUAAACAACCAGGAGGUUGGCUUAGAAGCAGCCAUCCUUUAAAGAAAGCGUAAUAGCUCACUGGUCUAGUGAUUUUGCGCGGAAAAUAUAACGGGGCUAAAGUAAGUACCGAAGCUGUAGACUUGCGCACAA